AGUGAACGCUGGCGGUAGGCCUAACACAUGCAAGUCGAACGGCAGCACAGUAAGAGCUUGCUCUUACGGGUGGCGAGUGGCGGACGGGUGAGGAAUACAUCGGAAUCUACUUUUUCGUGGGGGAUAACGUAGGGAAACUUACGCUAAUACCGCAUACGACCUACGGGUGAAAGCAGGGGAUCUUCGGACCUUUCGCGAUUGAAUGAGCCGAUGUCGGAUUAGCUAGUUGGCGGGGUAAAGGCCCAACAAAGCCACGAUCCGUAGCAGGUCCGAGAGGACGAUCAGCGACACUGGAACUGAGACACGGUCCAGACUCCUACGGGAGGCAGCAGUGGGGAAUAUUGGACAAUGGACGCAAGCCUGAUCCAGCCAUACCGCGUGGGUGAAGAGGGCCUUCGGGUUGUAAAGCCCUGUUGUUGGGAAAGAAAAGCAGCAGGUUAAUACCCCGCUAUUAUGACGGUACCCAAAGAAUAAGCACCGGCUAACUUCGUG
rnacentral:rRNA from 1 species